rnacentral:pre_miRNA from 1 species
AAUAGAUAACACCGCUGAUUUUUUCUCACAUGUUUGACCAUUCGUCUUAUUCAAAAAAUUAACAUAAUUAUAAUUUAUUUUAUUAUGAGUUAUUUUAUCAUUCAUAGUACUUUAAAUGUGAUUUAUAUCUUACAUAUUUGCAUAAAAUUUUUGAAUAAGACGAAUGGUGAAACAUGUGAGAAAAAGUCAACGGCGUCAUCUAUU